AGAAUAUAAUUGGAUAUAUAUAUAUAGAAUUAUACUAUUAUACUAUUGAUAGUACCAAGCGAUUGAUACUAUCGCGUUUUCAAUGUGGUUAGGAUUUAGGGUUUGGAUUUAGGGUUGACUGGGUGGUUAGUUGAAUAGUAUAAUAUGUGGGUGAUCCUUUAGGGUUGAGUGGGUGAUUUUUUUUAGGGUUGAGUGGGUGGUUAGUUGAAUAGUAUAAUAUAUGGGUGGUUCUUUAGGUUUAGGGUUGAAUGGGUGGUUAGUUGAAUAAUAUAAUAUAACGGUCGAUAGUACCUCGGUACGAUCGAUAGUAUAGUAGCCGGACUCUCUCUCUCUAUACGUGUGUGUGUAUAUAUAUAUAUAUAUAAAAGAGAUCCUAGUAAUAAUAAUUGUGAUUAAGCAUUUUGAGUCGACGGUGGUGCGUGCCCAACGAGUUAGUAAUUAUUGAAAAUUUUUGAUUUUGUUACCUAACUUUUUAAUUUAUUUGAUUUGAGUCAGUUACUGAAGCUUUAGCUUCAAAUUUGAAUGCGUCUGUAAGUUUAUCUUUACAGAUUUAAUUAGCAUAUUUUAUGCAAUUCAAGUAACUGUUAAAUUGAUUGGAAUAAGCAGUUGGCUUAAUUUUGUAUUGAAAGAGCCACCAAAUGGCUAUAAAUUAAAUAAUUGGAAAAAUUGAAUACUACAAUUAAAAUUUUGAAAUGUUGUGCGCGGUCGAAUCAAAUGAUCUAUAGUUUAGGUAAGUUAUGUGCAUUUUUACCUUUUUUUUGAUACGCUAAAAUACAGAAAAAUCCUAUAAAUAUCCGCUUUUGCAUUUUUCCUCCUAUCUUUUAAAAAGUCUUUAUUUUAUCCUCUUGAAAUUUAAAUUAUAGCAUUUAACUUCGCACCGUUACUAUUUUGUUAUCGUUUUGUGCAUACGUUGUAUGGAAUAGCCGGGUAACUACUGAUAUAGCCAUUUAUUCUUGAAUCUCUUUUAUAAAGUUAUCUAAUCUAAGAAAAAAAAUAAAAUAAUGAUUUUUAUCUAUUUUCAUCAUUUCUAAGAAUAUAAUAAAUAUUUCAGGAGGUUACUGUUACCACACAAUUUAUGCACCAAAUUGUGACGAAAUAAUAACGAUGCUGUAAUAAGUGCUACAAUUUUAAAUUUAAAGGAGGGAAAAUAGAAUUUUGAAAAGACGGUUGGAUGAAGUACAAAAGUAUAUAUUUGUAAAAAAGUUUUCUGUAUUUUAGCCUAUAUUAUUAUACUUGUUAAUGGUCAUGCCUGAGUUGCCUUUUUGUCGUAUCCCUGUUUUGAGUGACAACGUGGUAUCUGAGUCGGUCCUCUGCUUUGGCGUCGAUCUUAUUUUUCUAAAUGAAAAUUUUUUGUUGUUGAAUGCGUCGGCAGAUGAACUUUUCUACUCUUGUUGCCAAAUAAAUAUCUUACAUGUGCAGUAAACACUCCACCAUCUUCUAUUGUAUAGAAUUAGUGUUUAAGAAAAUAAAAAAAAUCGAUAAUGAUAUACCAAAUUAGGCCUUAAAAUAAUAUUGUCUAGCUUAAACUUUUAGAGACAAAUGACUAUUUCAUAUAAUAUUUGAUUUUGGAUCCACUAGGUUUCGAGGUAAUUAAUUUCCUCCUAUUCGCUAUAAAUCCAUGUCUGAAUCUUAUAAAAAAUUCUCUAGUACGCAAGUACGGGAAGUGUUUAAUGUAAUAUUAAAUCAUUCUUCACUUCGUGGAUGGAACUAGAACUUUCUUUGAAGGGCUAAAUAGUUGUAGUUUAUUAAGUUUACCAUCUGAUCUUUGAAUUAUGUAGUUUUAUAAUAUAAAAACUAGAAUCUAGGGAUAUAGAGGAACAGUUAUUUAUAUAGUUCGAGAUGUAGUAAAAUUUUCAUUUUUGUAGAAAAAGAAAUGUAGCUUGAUUUGCAUAGCGCUUGUAGAAAAAUGCCAAAAUUCAGGAGAUUACAAGAGCGAAAACGUUUACCAAAUUUGUGCUUGAGAAAUUUUCAGAUAUAUGUACAUGAAAUUGGUAAGAAUCCUUUUAUAUUUUGACUCGGAAUCAAUUAAUGAACUUAGUAAUAGUAUUCUCUGUGGAGACUAUAGGACUUUGUUGUUUCAUAGUCCAAACCUGAAAAGAGUAAAGCUUAGGGGGUGUUUGGUUUUAACGUAAAACUGUGAAAAAUAGUUUGGUUUGUCGAGUUUUACGUUUUGUCGAGUUUGGUUUGUGGGGGGAAAAAAAUGGCUUUUUUGUUUGGUUGAAGGGAAAAAAAUUCCCAUUUGUUUGGUUGGGCAACAAAAAAAUGAAUGAAAAAGUUUUACGUAGCUUGACUUUUCGUUUUCCGUUAACAAUCGGCGGAAAACGAAAACACUCCAUUUUCCUCAAAUCUAUAAAAAUAGUUUUCUAAAACAAAAAAUUUACGGCUAAACAAACACACAGAAAACUAUUUUUCAAGUCGGAAAGUAAUCUUCAUUACAUUUUAUGGCCAACCAAACGCACCCUUAAUUUGCAAGCAAAAAAGCUCCUAAAUAGUUGCGCACAACAUGAAGUUUCCGAACAUUUGAUGUUCUUGUUCUUCACUGCGCGGAGGUUGAAUGGUUCUAUAUUCUGCUUUAUCGCAGGGAAACGACGUCGGCACUCAGUAUCGGUCGGGGAUCUACUACUACACUGAGGAGCAAGCCAAGCUCGCUCGCGAGUCGAUGGAAGCGAAGCAGCAGGAGUUCAAAGAGAAGAUCAUGACGGAGAUUCUCCCAGCCAAGGAGUUCUACCGAGCCGAAGAAUACCACCAGCAGUACCUCGAGAAGGGCGGCGGAAGAGGAGACAAGCAAUCUGCAGAGAAAGGAUGCAAUGACCCCAUCAGAUGCUAUGGUUGAUUCACUAUUUUUGCAUCAGUAGUGGUUUUAAGUUAUGUUGUUUCUCUUAUGCAUUAUAUAUUAUGCAUAAUAUAUAUGUGGUUGAUUUGAUACUCCUAAAUCUCAGCAAAAUAAGCAUGUUAUUGUUGGUAAAAUUGCUAAAUAUUAUACAAAAUGGUUGUUUGUGAUGUUUGUGGGUAUUUUUGUUUCAACAUUGCUUCGCAUUACUUUUGUUGCAAAAAGAUUCAUUUGUGUUUGAAUUAGUGUGUACACAAGUAGCUUUUUUUUUUCUUUUUUUUUUUUAAUCAUUCCUGUGGUUUCGCAAUUUUUCACUUUAGUGUUCUUUGGUUUAAAGUAUAUCAAUUUAGUAUUCUAUAGUUUUAUUUUUUUCUUUUCGUCAACCCAUCCGUUAACUUUUCGCUAAAUCAUAUAUAAAAAAUUUUAGAUAUUCUACUUAUAGUUUAUCGAAUAUUUAUUUUAAUAACUUUUAGUUUUAACUUUGUCGUUGAUUUAACGAAAAAUAAUUAGUGGAGGGAAUAAUAAAAAAAAUAAAAUAAAAUUACAGUGUACGAAAGUGAUACGCUUUAAAUUACGGGAGGCUAAAGUGAGAAAGUGUGAAACCAUAGGGGUGGUAUUUGAAGUUUUUUUUUUUAUUUUUU
rnacentral:lncRNA from 1 species